UACAGAGGGUGCAAGCGUUGUUCGGAAUUAUUGGGCGUAAAGGACGCGUAGGCGGUGCGGUAAGUCUGUAGUGAAAUCUCUGGGCUCAACUCAGAGUCUGCUGCAGAAACUGCCGUGCUUGAGUGUGGGAGAGGUGAGUGGAAUUCCCGGUGUAGCGGUGAAAUGCGUAGAUAUCAGGAGGAACACCAGCGGCGAAGGCGGCGCUCUGGGCCGGUACUGACACUGAGGAGCGAAAGCGUGGGGAGCAAACAGG
rnacentral:rRNA from 1 species